GACGAACGCUGGCGGCGUGCUUAACACAUGCAAGUCGAGCGGUAAGGCCCUUUCGGGGGUACACGAGCGGCGAACGGGUGAGUAACACGUGGGUGACCUGCCCUCAGCUCUGGGAUAAGCCUGGGAAACUGGGUCUAAUACUGGAUAUGACUCCAUGACGCAUGUUGUGGGGUGGAAAGCCUUGUGCGGCUGAGGAUGGGCCCGCGGCCUAUCAGCUUGNGGUGGGGUGAUGGCCUACCAAGGCGACGACGGGUAGCCGGCCUGAGAGGGCGACCGGCCACACUGGGACUGAGACACGGCCCAGACUCCUACGGGAGGCAGCAGUGGGGAAUAUUGGACAAUGGGGGCAACCCUGAUCCAGCAAUGCCGCGUGUGUGAAGAAGGCCUGCGGGGUUGUAAAGCACUUUCAGCGGAAGAAAGAAAAAUCGGAGCUAACAUCUCCGGUCUUGACGUUA
rnacentral:rRNA from 1 species